rnacentral:misc_RNA from 2 species
GGUUCCCCUGCAUAAGGAUGAACC